rnacentral:piRNA from 1 species
UGCCACAUAAGGAAGGCUUAGCCACAGCUGC